rnacentral:ncRNA from 2 species
UUCAUCUUGACGGGGUGCCGUAACCAAUCGGCUGAGAUGAUACCCGCAAUACCUGAACCGGUUCGCACCGGCGUAGGGAUCGAGAUGCAUACUACA